GGAAGGACUGUGGCUCAGUGGCAGAGCUUCUGCUUGGUAUGCAAAAGGUCCCAGGUUCAAUUUUUAGCACCUCCA
rnacentral:tRNA from 1 species